UAGCUGAGCGGUAAAGAGCUUGGCUUCUGAACAGGGGGCCCCGGGUUCGAAUCCUGG
rnacentral:tRNA from 1 species